UGGCGUCAGGAUGAACGCUAGCUACAGGCUUAACACAUGCAAGUCGAGGGGCAGCAUGUGGUUGCUGCAACCAAUGAUGGCGACCGGCGCACGGGUGAGUAACGCGUAUCCAACCUUCCCCUUAGUAGAGGAUAGCCCGGCGAAAGUCGGAUUAAUACUCUAUGUUCUUCAAUGCGGACAUCUAAGUUGAAGCAAAGAUUUAUCGCUAAGGGAUGGGGAUGCGUCUGAUUAGGUUGCAGGCGGGGUAACGGCCCACCUGGCCUACGAUCAGUAGGGGUUCUGAGAGGAAGGUCCCCCACACUGGUACUGAGACACGGACCAGACUCCUACGGGAGGCAGCAGUGAGGAAUAUUGGUCAAUGGGCGCGAGCCUGAACCAGCCAAGUAGCGUGCAGGAACCGACUGCCCUAUGGGUUGUAAACUGCUUUUAUCAGGGAAUAAAGUGAGGCACGCGUGCCUUUUUGUAUGUACCUGAUGAAUAAGGACCGGCUAAUUCCGUGCCAGCAGCUGC
rnacentral:rRNA from 1 species